rnacentral:misc_RNA from 1 species
GCGAGUAAGACCCUGCCCUAGUGGCUCGGUCAGUCCCAUCAUAUACACCUUUAUUCGUGAACUCGUGGUUCAGCCGGACGAUGAAAGCUUUGGCGACUAGCCGUCCGUCGGUUCCGCUCUUUAUACCCUUUAUGUGAAGUCAAUGGAAAUUAUGAUAAUCUAAUA